CUUGCUCUUUCCGGAAUUGAGUGGCAAACGGGUGAGUAACACGUAAACAACCUGCCUUCAGGAUGGGGACAACAGACGGAAACGACUGCUAAUACCGAAUAAGUUCCAAGAGCCGCAUGGCCCAUGGAAGAAAAGGUGGCCUCUACCUGUAAGCUAUCGCCUGAAGAGGGGUUUGCGUCUGAUUAGCUGGUUGGAGGGGUAACGGCUCACCAAGGCGACGAUCGGUAGCUGGUCUGAGAGGACGACCGGCCACAUUGGGACUGAGACACGGCCCAGACUCC
rnacentral:rRNA from 1 species